UACGAAGGGGGCUAGCGUUGUUCGGAAUUACUGGGCGUAAAGCGCGCGCAGGCGGUUCUACAAGUCAGUGGUGAAAGCCCGGAGCUCAACUCCGGAACUGCCAUUGAAACUGCAGAACUUGAGGAUGAGAGAGGUGAGUGGAAUUCCCAGUGUAGAGGUGAAAUUCGUAGAUAUUGGGAAGAACACCGGCGGCGAAGGCGGCUCACUGGCUCAUUUCUGACGCUCAGGCGCGACAGCGUGGGGAUCAAACAGG
rnacentral:rRNA from 1 species